GAUGAACGCUGGCGGCGUGCCUAAUACAUGCAAGUCGAACGCAUAGCGAAAGGUGCUUGCACCUUUCAAGUGAGUGGCGAACGGGUGAGUAACACGUGGACAACCUGCCUCAAGGCUGGGGAUAACAUUUGGAAACAGAUGCUAAUACCGAAUAAAACUUAGUGUCGCAUGACACAAAGUUAAAAGGCGCUUCGGCGUCACCUAGAGAUGGAUCUGCGGUGCAUUAGUUAGUUGGUGGGGUAAAGGCCUACCAAGACAAUGAUGCAUAGCCGAGUUGAGAGAUGGUUGGGCACAUUGGGACUGAGACACGGCCCAAACUCCUACGGGAGGCUGCAGUAGGGAAUCUUCCACAAUGGGCGAAAGCCUGAUGGAGCAACGCCGCGUGUGUGAUGAAGGCUUUCGGGUCGUAAAGCACUGUUGUAUGGGAAGAACAGCUAGAAUAGGAAAUGAUUUUAGUUUGACGGUACCAUACCAGAAAGGGACGGCUAAAUACGUG
rnacentral:rRNA from 1 species